GUGAGGAAUAUUGCGCAAUGGAGGAAACUCUGACGCAGCGACGCCGCGUGGGUGAUGAAGGCCUUCGGGUCGUAAAACCCUUUUGGCAGGGACGAGUGAGGACGGUACCUGUUGAAUAAGUCUCGGCUAACUACGUGCCAGCAGCCGCGGUAAAACGUAGGAGGCAAGCGUUAUCCGGAUUCACUGGGCGUAAAGCGUGCGUAGGCGGUUGAGUAAGUCGGAUGUGAAAGCCCUUGGCUCAACUGAGGGAGGUCAUUCGAUACUGCUCGGCUUGAGGAUGAGAGAGGAGAGCGGAAUUCCCGGUGUAGCGGUGGAAUGCGUAGAGAUCGGGAGGAACACCAGCGGCGAAAGCGGCUCUCUGGCUCAUAUCUGACGCUGAGUGCACGACAGCGUGGGGAGCAAACGGGAUUAGAUACCCUUGUAGUCC
rnacentral:rRNA from 1 species